rnacentral:rRNA from 1 species
GCUCCCUCCGCGCCAUCAGACUCCUACGGAGGCAGCAGUGGGGAAUAUUGGACAAUGGGGGAAACCCUGAUCCAGCCAUGCCGCGUGAGUGAUGAAGGCCUUAGGGUUGUAAAGCUCUUUUGUCAGGGAAGAGUAAUGACGGUACCUGAACGAAUAAGCACCGGCUAACUUCUUGCCAGCAGCCGCGGUAAUUC